AUGGGUCUGGGUUCCUACAACGAUGGCAGUAGAGGCGACAAAGACCACUUUGCAACCUCGCCGAAUUGUGUUACUGAACUGAAAGAAAAGGAAAACACUCGACGAUCUGGCUCUGUCUCAGGUAUAUGCUCCCUCGCCCGCAAGAUCCGCUCUCUCCCAUCUACGCAUCACGGCAGCACUUCAGCUCCUCUUAUGGAUUCUCACCAGAUCAGGCCACCUCACUCACCUUCAGUUGUCAGAACCUCACCGGCAGAUCCCUCAGCUAUCAGGGAAAGCAGCCAUCAGCGGAGAUUGAGGGUGCCUCUCCGGCGAGAGUGCUCGUGUCGUGGUGGUUUCCCACCAGCGGCAUGGGGGAGGCGGUGUCCUCUGCAGCUAGGUCUACUUGCUGGCGACCUCACCGUCACCAGCCCAUCUGCAGGUAUGCUAGCUCCUCUUCUAUUAAUGCAAAAAGGAGACGCUCAAAUGGAUUGA
rnacentral:rRNA from 1 species